AUUUAUGGUUCAGUACUUUUAUGUGAAUUGAAUAUUUGGGUUUUCGUGAAUAUAAUAAAGAAUUUGUGGAAUCUUGUGAAAUGAAAAUGGUUUUCUAUCCCUCAUGAUAGUAUGUUUUAAAAGAAAAAGGUUUCCAUGUGGAAAACAGUUUUUUAAAGGUUUUCUCUUAGUUUUCAUGACUUGGAAUUUUAAAACGAGUUUCCGGGUAGGAAACAUUUUAAACUAAUAGUUGUGGAUUUAUAGAUAAACUCUGAAUGUGAAUCUAAAUAGGAAUGGUGUAUGAAUGCGUGUAUAUUCAUAUGUAGUGGUUGUAUCCUAUAUUAUGUAUCUUGUACUUGUGCGACGCCGUGCAAAUAUAGAGGAGACUCUAUCCGUGUGAA
rnacentral:lncRNA from 1 species